GGUUAAGCGACUAAGCGUACACGGUGGAUGCCCUGGCAGUCAGAGGCGAUGAAGGACGUGCUAAUCUGCGAAAAGCGCCGGCGAGGUGAUAUGAACCCUUGACCCGGCGAUGUCCGAAUGGGGAAACCCAGUGUGUUCCGACACACUAUCGUUAACUGAAUACAUAGGUUAACGAGGCGAACCGGGGGAACUGAAACAUCUAAGUACCCCGAGGAAAAGAAAUCAACCGAGAUUCCCCCAGUAGCGGCGAGCGAACGGGGAGCAGCCCGGAGUCUGAAUCAGCUUGUGUGUUAGUGGAACGGUCUGGAAAGUCCGACGGUACAGGGUGAUAGUCCCGUACACGAAAAUGCACAUGCUGUGAACUCGAAGAGUAGGGCGGGACACGUGGUAUCCUGUCUGAAUAUGGGGGGACCAUCCUCCAAGGCUAAAUACUCCUGACUGACCGAUAGUGAACCAGUACCGUGAGGGAAAGGCGAAAAGAACCCCGGCGAGGGGAGUGAAAAAGAACCUGAAACCGUGUACGUACAAGCAGUGGGAGCACCUUCGGGUGUGACUGCGUACCUUUUGUAUAAUGGGUCAGCGACUUAUAUUCUGUAGCAAGGUUAACCGUAUAGGGGAGCCGAAGGGAAACCGAGUCUUAACUGGGCGUUAAGUUGCAGGGUAUAGACCCGAAACCCGGUGAUCUAGCCAUGGGCAGGUUGAAGGUUGGGUAACACUAACUGGAGGACCGAACCGACUAAUGUUGAAAAAUUAGCGGAUGACCUGUGGCUGGGGGUGAAAGGCCAAUCAAACCGGGAGAUAGCUGGUUCUCCCCGAAAGCUAUUUAGGUAGCGCCUCGUGAACUCAUCUUCGGGGGUAGAGCACUGUUUCGGCUAGGGGGCCAUCCCGGCUUACCAACCCGAUGCAAACUACGAAUACCGAAGAAUGUUAUCACGGGAGACACACGGCGGGUGCUAACGUCCGUCGUGAAGAGGGAAACAACCCAGACCGCCAGCUAAGGUCCCAAAGUCAUGGUUAAGUGGGAAACGAUGUGGGAAGGCACAGACAGCCAGGAUGUUGGCUUAGAAGCAGCCAUCAUUUAAAGAAAGCGUAAUAGCUCACUGGUCGAGUCGGCCUGCGCGGAAGAUGUAACGGGGCUAAACCAUGCACCGAAGCUGCGGCAGCGACGCUUAUGCGUUGUUGGGUAGGGGAGCGUUCUGUAAGCCGUUGAAGGUGUGCUGUGAGGCAUGCUGGAGGUAUCAGAAGUGCGAAUGCUGACAUAAGUAACGAUAAAGCGGGUGAAAAGCCCGCUCGCCGGAAGACCAAGGGUUCCUGUCCAACGUUAAUCGGGGCAGGGUGAGUCGACCCCUAAGGCGAGGCCGAAAGGCGUAGUCGAUGGGAAACAGGUUAAUAUUCCUGUACUUGGUGUUACUGCGAAGGGGGGACGGAGAAGGCUAUGUCAGCCGGGCGACGGUUGUCCCGGUUUAAGCAUGUAGGCGGAGGUUCCAGGUAAAUCCGGUACCUUAUUAACGCUGAGGUGUGAUGACGAGGCACUACGGUGCUGAAGUGAUAAAUGCCCUGCUUCCAGGAAAAGCCUCUAAGCAUCAGGUAACACGAAAUCGUACCCCAAACCGACACAGGUGGUCAGGUAGAGAAUACCAAGGCGCUUGAGAGAACUCGGGUGAAGGAACUAGGCAAAAUGGUGCCGUAACUUCGGGAGAAGGCACGCUGAUAUGUAGGUGAAGCCCCUGCGGGCGGAGCUGAAAUCAGUCGAAGAUACCAGCUGGCUGCAACUGUUUAUUAAAAACACAGCACUGUGCAAACACGAAAGUGGACGUAUACGGUGUGACGCCUGCCCGGUGCCGGAAGGUUAAUUGAUGGGGUUAGCGGCAACGCGAAGCUCUUGAUCGAAGCCCCGGUAAACGGCGGCCGUAACUAUAACGGUCCUAAGGUAGCGAAAUUCCUUGUCGGGUAAGUUCCGACCUGCACGAAUGGCGUAAUGAUGGCCAGGCUGUCUCCACCCGAGACUCAGUGAAAUUGAACUCGCUGUGAAGAUGCAGUGUACCCGCGGCAAGACGGAAAGACCCCGUGAACCUUUACUAUAGCUUGACACUGAACACUGGUCCUUGAUGUGUAGGAUAGGUGGGAGGCUUUGAAGCGUGGACGCCAGUCUGCGUGGAGCCGCCCUUGAAAUACCACCCUUUAAUGGCUGGUGUUCUAACGUAGACCCGUGAUCCGGGUUGCGGACAGUGUCUGGUGGGUAGUUUGACUGGGGCGGUCUCCUCCCAAAGAGUAACGGAGGAGCACGAAGGUUGGCUAAUCCUGGUCGGACAUCAGGAGGUUAGUGCAAUGGCAUAAGCCAGCUUGACUGCGAGCGUGACGGCGCGAGCAGGUGCGAAAGCAGGUCAUAGUGAUCCGGUGGUUCUGAAUGGAAGGGCCAUCGCUCAACGGAUAAAAGGUACUCCGGGGAUAACAGGCUGAUACCGCCCAAGAGUUCAUAUCGACGGCGGUGUUUGGCACCUCGAUGUCGGCUCAUCACAUCCUGGGGCUGAAGUAGGUCCCAAGGGUAUGGCUGUUCGCCAUUUAAAGUGGUACGCGAGCUGGGUUUAGAACGUCGUGAGACAGUUCGGUCCCUAUCUGCCGUGGGCGCUGGAGAAUUGAGGGGGGCUGCUCCUAGUACGAGAGGACCGGAGUGGACGCAUCACUGGUGUUCGGGUUGUCAUGCCAAUGGCACUGCCCGGUAGCUAAAUGCGGAAGAGAUAAGUGCUGAAAGCAUCUAAGCACGAAACUUGCCCCGAGAUGAGUUCUCCCUGAGACUUUAAGUCUCCUGAAGGAACGUUGAAGACGACGACGUUGAUAGGUCGGGUGUGUAAGCGCAGCGAUGCGUUGAGCUAACCGAUACUAAUGAACCGUGAGGCUUAACCUU
rnacentral:rRNA from 1 species